GGGGGUUUAGCUCAGUUGGUAGAGCGCCUGCUUUGCAAGCAAGGAUGUCAGCGGGUUCGAGUCCGCUAACCUCCA
rnacentral:tRNA from 1 species